rnacentral:rRNA from 1 species
CUACGGGGUGCUCCAGUGAGGAAUAUUGCACAAUGGGGGGAACCCUGAUGCAGCAACGCCGCGUGGAGGAUGACGCAUUUCGGUGUGUAAACUCCUUUUAUAUGUCAAGAAAAUGACGGUAGCAUAUGAAUAAGCACCGGCUAACUCCGUGCCAGCAGCCGCGGUAAUACGGAGGGUGCAAGCGUUACUCGGAAUCACUGGGCGUAAAGGACGCGUAGGCGGGUUGGAAAGUCAGGUGUGAAAUCCUACAGCUUAACUGUAGAACUGCACUUGAAACUUCUAAUCUAGAGUAUGGGAGGGGGAGAUGGAAUUAGUGGUGUAGGGGUAAAAUCCGUAGAUAUCACUAGGAAUACCUAAAGCGAAGGCGAUCUCCUGGAACAUUACUGACGCUAAGGCGUGAAAGCGUGGGGAGCAAACAGGAUUAGAUACCCGAGUAGUC